GUUUGAACCCUUCAGAGACGUCCAAUAAAAUUGGAACAAUAUAGAGAAGAUCAACAUGGGCCUCCAUGAUGACAUGAACAAAUCGAGAAAUGAUCCAAAUUUAC